CUUUGGAAUACUAUUAUGUCCAUUAGUUCCAGAAAUUUCGUGUUAAUUUAAUAUGUUUGAUAUUUUUAAAGUUAUCUUGCUAACGCUGAGACACAUACACAAUGACACACACAUACUGAUUUGCUGAUGAGCAGAAUUUUAGUCGCACAAAUUAUGGGAAACCUUCAAAUUUAUAGCUCCUAAAAGAUUUUGGAAUCAAUUGAUUAUGCAAUUGAAAUGUUCAUUUAAAAUUCGGUUUUUAUUAAGGGCUGCAUUUAGAUCAAUCUCAGUCUUAUUUACUCAGAACUAUUAACUAUAAUUGUGUAUUCCCUAUACAUCAUUCAGUCUAUAUUAUUAAUUAAUGAACUGAAACUACUCCGUGCGUCUGUCCUCUAAUAAUAGAUCAUGGCUCUCGACCAAUGAAAGCGCUUGAAUUCUUAACGUUAUUAUAUCAAAAUUAUUUUAGACUGAAUCAGAGACUGAAUAAUAUGGCUUUAACUUCUAGGCAUUUAAUGUGUUUCUCAGAUUCUCCAUGGUCCCAUGAGCCACCUGUAGGUAUACUACCAAGGGAACAACCCCAACUCUCUUUGAGGAGUCAUGCAUGUGUUCAUGGUUUUGUGAUUAUUUUUAAAGUUAUCUUGCUAACACUGAGACGUAUACACAUUGACACACACAUACAUACGCUGAUGAAAACAUGACCUGCAUAACUAGAUUUGCUGACGAGCAGAAUUUUAGUCAGACAAAUUAUGGAAAGUCUUUAAAUUUAGCUCCUCAAAAUUUCUGAAUCAUUAAUUCGGUUUAAAUUAAGGGCUUUUAGAUCAAUCUUAGUCUUAAUAUAUGUUUACUCAGAUAUAACUAUAAUUAUUCAUUCCCUUUACUGAUACAUCAUUCCGUUAUUUAUUCCCUUUACUGAUACAUCAACUUUGGCCACUGCGCACAGAUUAACAAUUAUACAUGUAUAAUAGUUUAUCAUACUUAGAAUUUUGUUACACUGAUGUACAAUGCCGUGCAAAUAAAAUUCUUCUUCGCCUCUAUAACUCUAAUUGAUUGUUAAGUAGGCCUAAUAUCUGUUAAAAAUAAUUUCUUAUAGGUGAUCCGUUACGACCUGGAUUUCAUAUGAAUGAGAUUAAUGAAUCAUGUAAUAUAUAGUAUACCAUAUACUGCACUUAUAUAAUUUUGAUAUGCUGAUAUAAAAUUGCU